rnacentral:sRNA from 1 species
UAUAGGAACCAAAGGCAUGCUUUAAUGCAAGUGUACUUCCACAUGCUAAAUAUGCUCCAGCCCUUCCUUAAAUUCUGCAACAACUGUGUUCCCAGUGAGUGUUGCGUGAGGGCCUGAGUGUGGUGCUCAACAGAUGUUUUUAUGCAGGAAGUCCUUGUUCCUGAAGCCUCAGAAUUUGAUGAGUGGGAGCCUGAAGGCACAACCCUAGAAGGCCCUGUGACUGCCGUCAUCCCCACUUGGCAGGCAUUGACCACGCUUGACCUGAGCCACAACAGCAUCUCUGAGAUCGACGAGUCUGUGAAACUGAUCCCAAAGAUUGAGUUCCUGGACCUGAGUCACAAUGGAUUGCUGGUUGUGGACAAUCUGCAGCACCUGUAUAACCUUGUGCAUCUGGACCUGUCCUACAACAAGCUCUCCUCCUUGGAAGGGCUUCACACCAAGCUGGGGAACAUCAAGACCUUAAACCUGGCAGGCAACCUCCUAGAGAGUCUGAGUGGCCUGCACAAGCUCUACUCACUGGUCAACCUGGAUCUCCGGGACAACAGGAUCGAACAG